rnacentral:lncRNA from 1 species
UUCUCUUUUCAGGGUGCUCCCUAUAUGGACCUCAGAUAUUAGAAAGGCUGCUUGAAGCUUUGUGCUAAAGGCCAUAGAAGCUUCCUGCAACAAAACGAACCUGUGCUUUCAGAGGGCCCAGUAUCACACUGUGCGACUGUACUGCACUAGGAGCUAAGGACCAUCACAUUCUACUGCAAGUAUGAGGUCCUGGUCCUGCUCUUUUCUCCAGUCUGGAGCAACGUUUGGAGGAGCCCAGCAGCCUGGUCCUUUCCAUAGCUUCCAAGGAUUUCUAGGAUCACAGGAUUUACAGACCCUCAAAAACCUCUGGAGGACAUGAGCUGUGGAUAAAAGCCUCUGGAAGCGCCUGCCACCUCUCUUACCUCUUGUUUCUUGCUGGGUGACUGCAUGCCAUUUGGGAAGGGAGCCUCUCCGCUCUCAGAGGAUUACGUCUAACCAGGCACUUGCCAUCCCCACUGGAAUACUUCUGCUACAUUUUCCCAGGAUGGAGAAAUUACUACACUCAGCAGAAGGAUAUUUUUCCCCUCUCCCAGAACUUUUCAAGUUCAGCGGUGCUCUUGUCCGGCAGCCUUUUCCCCUUGCCUGUCACCCCGCUGGGCAUCUGAGACGUUUCCAGAUCCUGCCACCUUCCUAGUGGGCUUCAGGAGCCGCGUGAGAGGGGUCGUCUCAUCUGGUAUUCACCUUCCUGCAACAGUUUUGUCUACAGCCCCAGGAAAGCUGCAAACUGCACAGAGGGGAAGGUCUUAAUCACCUAUUGAUAUGUUCCUCUGAUGGCAGCCGUCAUAAAGUGGAGCUUUUUAAAGGUAUUUUGCUAUUACACUGCUAUUACACUGUAUUGAGAGCUUAUCAUUACACUCAAUGGCAGGGAUGGAAGUGUAGCUGUCCCAGGACCAUUUUGUCCUGCAGUCUGCAUAGGUGAAGAGUCAGGGCAGGAGGUGUUUAAUGAACACUGCUAAACUGGCCUCUUACUUCUAGACCCUUGAAAUACUAGGGCAGCCAUUAUAAAGUGUCUUUUAAUGAUUUACUGUUUGGUUCUGGCUCCUUCCUCUGCCUUGCUCUUUGAUAUCAGUGGAGCCAUACUGUUUUACAUCAAAUAAGGAUCUGACCUCUGUUUUUAGGAAGAACAGCAAGCUUUUUUGGCAAAAUAAUUGACCUGGCUUCCAUCCCAAGCUAAGCCUCUUUUUCUUUUGACUUUGGCCAAGUCAGGCUCUCUUUAUGGUCACCCUAGGCUUGUACAAUAAACAUUUGGAAAUUGCAGCA